rnacentral:lncRNA from 1 species
UGAGAGUGACAUAUAUGAAGGAGAUGUUUCUUGGUUAAUUUAUAUAUGGAGUAAGUAUAAAGUAUUGGCUUAAUCUACAAGGCAUUCACUAUUGCAUGUGGAUGGUUCAAAUUUAGGACCCACCACAUGGGAUUAUCAUGGACCUUGUAUCUAAUUUUUGGUAUUAAAUUUUGUUACUCACCUUAUUACAUGCAUGCUUUCAAGUUUCAAUAAUUGUACUUUUGUUUGUAUAAUACUCCAUGCAUAUAUAUUCUUCUUAACUUAUUAUAUAUGUUUCAUCAAAAUAUAUAUUAAUUAAAAAUAAUUUUUUUAAAAAACAUUAUAUAC